rnacentral:rRNA from 1 species
UACGUAGGGUGCGAGCGUUAAUCGGAAUUACUGGGCGUAAAGUGUGCGCAGGCGGCUGAGCAAGUCGAGUGUGAAAGCCCCGGGCUUAACUUGGGAAUUGCGCUCGAAACUACUUUGCUGGAGUGUGGCAGAGGAAGGUGGAAUUCCACGUGUAGCGGUGAAAUUCGUAGAUAUUCGGAAGAACACCAGUGGCGAAGGCGACUCACUGGACACAUAUUGACGCUGAGGUGCGAAAGCGUGGGGAGCAAACAGG